UGGGGAAUCUUGCACAAUGGGCGAAAGCCUGAUGCAGCGACGCCGCGUGCGGGAUGAAGGCCUUCGGGUUGUAAACCGCUUUCAGCAGGGACGAGGCCGCAAGGUGACGGUACCUGCAGAAGAAGCCCCGGCUAACUACGUGCCAGCAGCCGCGGUAAUACGUAGGGGGCAAGCGUUAUCCGGAUUCAUUGGGCGUAAAGCGCGCGUAGGCGGUCUGUUAGGUCAGGAGUUAAAUCUGGGGGCUCAACCCCUAUCCGCUCCUGAUACCGGCAGGCUUGAGUCUGGUAGGGGAAGAUGGAAUUCCAAGUGUAGCGGUGAAAUGCGCAGAUAUUUGGAAGAACACCGGUGGCGAAGGCGGCCUUCUGGGCCACGACUGACGCUGAGGCGCGAAAGCUAGGGGAGCGAACAGG
rnacentral:rRNA from 1 species